UUCCUUAUGUAAGUUGGGGAAGACAUGCUACGUACUUCGACAGGAGAGAGGUCUUGCUAGUGACAGCUGCAGCUUUUCUCUAUACCUUUGUUAUUUGGUGUAUGCACCAUUGUACCUUGCGGGGCCAAUCAUAAGCUUUAAUGCAUUUGCUUCUCAGCUAGAUAUGCCACAGAAUACUCAUUCAUUCAAAGAUGUUGCUCGCUAUGGAGUGCGUUGGUUAUUCAGCUUCUUGCUGAUUGAACUUAUGACACACUUAUUUUAUUACAAUGCCUUUGUGAUC